rnacentral:lncRNA from 10 species
AAUCUCUGUUCCUCACAGGGCAUCUGCUUGAUGCUGGUUGGAAUGGAAAGCUGUACCCUGUCCAUUCUGGCUGAGGGUUUCAGUGAAGAGAGCAGACAAACACGUGCUCAGUAUUGCUGAGUCUGGAGAGAAUGCCAGGGCUGGGGAUGUGAUCUGAGCAUCAUGUCCCUGAGAAAACACCUGCUUACUGAUCCUGUCUUCUUCACACUGAGGCCCCAGAGCCCCAGCCUGCACACAACCCUGCUGUGCACUGAGCCCUGGCCCAUCCUGUACCUGCUCCCCUAGUCUGUCCCGGGGAGCCAGAUUCCCAGAACUCAGGAAUGCCAGCUUCAGGGUGCAGGACUGGCUGGGCCAGAUGGACCACAGGGCCCGGGCGUCCUGGAGGGGGUGGCCUAGGUGUCCGUGGCCAGUAGGUGUCGCUGUGGCUCCAGCACUGGGAGGGGGUGUUAGGCAGGGGCCCCGGAGCCGGCCGAGGUGUUGGGUGCCCUUUGGCCUCCCACCCCUACCUCGGGCCUUCCUUCACUCAGAGCCUUCACCAGGCUUCUCACACUUUCUUUAAGUGUCCAUGGAACACUUGGAGGUUAAUCUAAAACGCAGAUUCUGAUUCAGCAGCUCUAGAGUGGAUCCUAGAUUUUGCAUUUCUACCAAGCUCCUAGGUGAGACCAGUGCUGCGGGUCUGUGGAUGCUCUUUGAGUGGCAAGGUCCUAACUAAACGGCUCCAUAGUGGGGAGGCACUGGCUCUGCUGUCUUCCAAAGCCAAUCUUCACCCUCACUCCUAUGUCUUUAAAUAAAGCCCCGAAUCAGAGGCCAAGGGUAGAGCCCCCUCUUUUUUUGGAGAUGGGCUUAGCUAGACCAGCAUGAGUUGGGCAGUUUCUAGAGAAGCUCUGAACCUAAACCUAACUCCAGUACUUUGAACCAACCCAGCCCUACCUCCUAGCCCAAGUCCUAAACUUCAAUCCAAUCCAAUCCAAAUUCCCCAAAUUAACCCCAGUUCCCAAUGGGCUAUUGAUUGCUUCAGUCCUGUCCCAAGACCGAAUGCCCCCUUAGCCUCUCUGAUAACCUUCCUGGUCCUCUGCCAUACCUUCUUCUGGAUACCAGCCUGAGCCAGGGCGGUGGGGCAAUAGGGUCUGGGGACACAUGCCUGGAUCAGGCUCUUACAGAACUCAGCAAGGGAGCUCAGGCAUUGCUCCAGACAAAGGAAAAGAGCAAUUUGGCAGUCUAGUUGAGAACAGGCUCUCCCUGCUCUCCCAGACUCUCCCUGCAAGGCCAUUUCUGUUGGGGAAAGUUCUGUCUCUGCCUUACCCCGUACGGCUCUGCUCUGCCCGAUGGGCUCCACUUCCUGGGACGUGGGGAAGGCUGGGAGGAAGCAUGUCCAUUAGCCCAGUCCCAAGUGCAGGUGAAGGGGGUAGGAUGGAGGGAGUGAAAGGAGGAGGAGGGAAUGAAGUAACAAGGAGGGAGGGGGGGAGGCAAAGCGCCCUCCAGGGCUUUUCUUUUCAAAUCAAAGUUUCUCUUGGGGGCCUUUCACUUUUCUUUUUCUGUCCACUGCCUGGCCCUUCUGGGUAGUGCAGAAGCGGAUUCCUGCAGGGGUGGUAGGUUGUUAUUCAAGCUGGACUAUAAGAGUUUAUCCCUUUUUUUUUUUUCUUUUGAGAUGGGGUCUCACUCUGUCACCCAGGCUGGAGUACAGUGGUGCCAUCUCAG